AUGGGAUUAAACAGUGCAGCUUUAGUGCAGGAGGUUUUUGUACAGACACUGAAUGAGGUCGUAUCACUGUGGAACACUUUUGGUGGAGGAACUCGACUCUCUGUUGGAAGUGAUGCUCGGCCGACCCUUACAGUGUUGCCCCCCUCUAGUGUGGAGUUGAAGCAGGGGAAGGCUACACUGGUGUGUUUGGCCAACAAGGGCUUCCCCUCAGACUGGACGCUGAGCUGGAAGGUGGACGGUAACAGUCCGACGUCAGGUGUGAGUGUGAGUGGGGGUGUGCUGGAGAAGGGAAACGGCCUCUACAGCUGGAGCAGCACCCUGAGCCUCACUGAGCAGCAGUGGAGGAACAUACGAGCAGUGAGCUGUGAGGCCAGACAGGGCAGCCAAAGCCCAGUCACCCACAGCCUGACCCCACAGCAGUGCACUGACCUCUGAGAGUGUACUAUAUACACAAUCAGCAGUGCACUGACCUCUGAGAGGGUCCAAUUUACAAAAAGUGUAUUAGACAUAAACAUACAUACACAUCCACUAUCAGUCUGCGCUGUUUUAGUGUUUCUGCUGAUGAGCGCUUAAACAAUUCUCCAGCUCUAUUUCAGUUUUAUUGUUCUCAUCUAAGACUUUUAUUCACUGUCUGAGUGUUAUGCUUUGCUAUUUGCCUGCAAAAUAAAAGCUCUUCAAAACGA